GGAGGCGGAGGCGGAGGCGGAGGCAGAGAUGGACUUGCCAGAUGCAGAGGAGACUCUAGCACUUGACCUGCCACGUUUACCUAUUGGACAAAUGUGUACUCGUUACACCCAAGGCUCUGUUCCAGAAACUAGACAAGCGUAUAUGAAGGCAAGGAGCCGACCUCAGAGAACUUAGUGGAGAAGACAGAUGAAAAUAUGACCAUGGUCCCAAGCUUUGGGAAAAACUUGUGGAGACUCAAAUUUCUGGUCCAGGAAUCCUCAGGAGUAGAAGCAGAGCGUUGCCAUCUGCACACAGGAGAGGCAAAGCCAAGCAGAUGAGAAACAAGACAACUGAGAAGCACACACAUUUCAGUAAGAAAUAGAAUUGCCUUUCUGGGACCCAGAAGCCAAGGCCUGUUUACUGCCCAAAACAGAUAAUGGAUGGGCCGCUGUGUGAUUCUUCCUGAUAAGUGGUCAAAGGAGAUGAACAGCAUCACACCAGGAAAUGGAGAUAGUAAAUCACAGUGUGGAAACAUGCGCGAUCUCGGCAGCUAUGAAAUAAAAUUUAUAUUCAAGCAACUUUCAGGUCCCAUUACAUGCCUAUUAAAGCUGCAAAAAUAAAUAUGAUAAAACCCAAGAUUGGCAGUCGGUAGAAGCACAUCCUUGAGCAUUGCUUUCUGGGCCAAUUUACAUAAGCAAGCAGGCAGCAUGAAUGAGAGCUCUGCCAUUUCUAUACUCUCUGACCCAGGAAUUUUCUCUUUGGUAACAAACGCCAUGGUAUUAGCCCCAAAGAAAGAAAAACAUGUCUAGAGCAGCAUUACCUGUAAUAACUAAAACUCACCCACAACCCAAAGGCCGAAGAAGAGGGGGCUGACCAAGCAGAGACAUGUGUUAACACAGUAGAAUAACACGAUGGCGUUUCAAAUGAUGAAUAUGGGGGCUUGGGAGGUUGCGGAAACGUUUCUAUGAAAUAUGCAUGGUCAUUAUUAGUUGUGCAUAUCAAAUGUCUUCCUGGGUAUUGAUAAAGAAGAGACUUUGGAUGGAAGAGGAUUCACUUAGAAUUUAAUGUUCAUUAAGAUUUUAUGAUAAGUUGGAUACCAAUUUUAGUCAUUCACUCAACAUUCAUUGAAUAUUGACCACAUG